UGAGCGCCUCGGGGCCAGAGC
rnacentral:miRNA from 1 species